UUUAUUUAGAGAGUUUGAUCCUGGCUCAGGAUGAACGCUGGCGGCGUGCUUAACACAUGCAAGUCGAACGAAGCACUUUGGACAGAUUCUUCGGAUGAAGUCCUUAGUGACUGAGUGGCGGACGGGUGAGUAACGCGUGGGUAACCUGCCUCAUACAGGGGGAUAACAGUUAGAAAUGGCUGCUAAUACCGCAUAAGCACACAGUACUGCAUGGUACAGUGUGAAAAACUCCGGUGGUAUGAGAUGGACCCGCGUUGGAUUAGCUAGUUGGCAGGGUAACGGCCUACCAAGGCGACGAUCCAUAGCCGGCCU
rnacentral:rRNA from 2 species